rnacentral:rRNA from 1 species
UACAGAGGGGGCAAGCGUUGUUCGGAAUUACUGGGCGUAAAGGGCGCGUAGGCGGCCCGCUAAGUCGAACGUGAAAUCCCCAGGCUCAACCUGGGAACUGCGUCCGAUACUGGCAGGCUUGAAUCCGGGAGAGGGAUGUGGAAUUCCAGGUGUAGCGGUGAAAUACGUAGAUAUCUGGAGGAACACCGGUGGCGAAGGCGGCUACCUGGCCCAACAUUGACGCUGAGACCCGAAAGCAUGGGGAUCAAACAGG